GCUGAAGUGGUGAAAUUGGUAGACACGCUAGGUUCAGGGUCUAGUGGGCAAUAUGCCUGUAGGGGUUCGAGUCCCCUCUUCAGCACCA
rnacentral:tRNA from 1 species